ensembl:lncRNA
CACAGCCCUGACAACUGUUUCUUGUAGACCUUUUCCACUUCUUAAAAUCAAAUUGUUAACAGGAUGUUUUAAUCUGUUAGGUUUGAAGAAAAAAAUGCUCUUCGGUGUAGCUUUGAUCUGAAUUCUACCUUGGAUAAAUGAGGUCAUGUAUUUCUAUGUGCUAUCUAUUUUCACAGGCAAUGUUGAAUAAUUUAUCAUGGCAUCAUACUCUGGUAAAUACACGUUGCAAUUUUGUGGACUCCCACCUUGCUUACAUGUCCACUGCAUGAUUCAAGUAUCAGUGAGUGAUUAUUACCUAUCUAAAUUAACAGCUUCCCUUUGUGACUGAGCUCCUGGGACUCCUCCCACGCGCCAAAUCACACUGAAUCGUCGGUAUCUGUUUGUUUGACGCUUGGCACCAGCGUGAGGCGCAGCGCUGUGUAAUCGCAGCCAGAACUGGAUUACAGGGAGAGCAGCAAGAAGCUGGCUGCGGUAAUCAGGCGAUUUUACACUUAGAGUGGUAGAAGUUUGCAGGGAGCCUCAUUUUAUUAUCUCCCUUGAAGCUUAUUCUCAGAGCAUGCGGAAAUUUUAUGUGCAUAGAAAAUUAGGAGGUGUCCCAGGCUGCUUGCUCCUACUUCCUCCUCCAGGCUAAGGGGUCAUCCCAGCCUGAGUGCUGCCUUCCUGGCCUCUCUGUGGGCCCUGCGCCCCAGGCCCAGCCAGGCUCUCUGUCCAUGCUCGCCCGGGGCCUUCCGGAACAGCUCCUGGCCAAUGGCCUGCAUCCAGGCUUCAUUAUCAUGCUGCAGAAGAGAUUUAGAACACAGAUUUGCUUCCACUGCUUCCUUACUUAAACCUUCCCAGGGCCUCUACUGUCUAUGGGGAAAGAUCUGAACUCCCCAGAGAGACGCACGAGGCCCGCUUCUGGCCUCGUCCCCGGCCUGGUGCCUCGCCCCGUCCUUACAGAACAGCCUGUCCGUGCCUGGAAUAGCGACAACUAUCGGGCUCGCAGCAGACAGGCACUCCUUCAAGGGGGACUCACUGCCCAGCUGCGACGAGCGUGGCCAGCUGUGCCUCCUGCACGUCUGCCUCAGCUUUUGAGUGGAGUCGUGCUCUCCUCAGCCAAUGGCCAAGUAAGACCACUGCUCGGGCCUGGCCACUGCUGCCCAAUGCAGGACGUUUUCACCAGGAAUCUCGGCUUCAGAGCUCCAGGUUGGGCGUCAGAGACCUGGUCAGGCUGGCGUUGCAGUUUCAGUUUGUCGGUGUAGCAAUCCAAUGUACACAUCAGGAUAGAUGCGGAGAGGGCUGAUGGCCACUCUGAGUUUAUUAUAAACAGAGUUUCAAUAUAUACAUAGCUUACAUCUGUUAAACAUACACAGGUGUUCUGGAUGAAGUAAUUAGCGAAUACCCAGAAUUCUUAGUGAUUUCUCAAGGAGCCCACCCUCGGCGUCUGUUUUGAUAUUAUCCUGUUAUUACUGUGCUCCUAUAUUUUUAUCUCGGAGCAGGCAAGGUCUCUUAGGCAACGGUCCCUCCUGCUCCUGAUAUCGAUAUCGUUUCUCCAUCUGUGCCCCAGGGCGGCGAGGUUGCCUUCCCCCC